GAUGAAGAACGUAGCGAAAUGCGAUACGUAAUGUGAAUUGCAGAAUUCAGUGAAUCAUCGAGUCUUUGAACGCACAUUGCGCCCCCUGGUAUUCCGGGGGGCAUGCCUGUCCGAGCGUCAUUGCUGCCCUCAAGCCCGGCUUGUGUGUUGGGUCUCGUCCCCCUUCCCGGGGGGACGGGCCCGAAAGGCAGCGGCGGCACCGCGUCCGGUCCUCGAGCGUAUGGGGCUUUGUCACCCGCUCUGUAGGCCCGGCCGGCGCUUGCCGAUCAACCAAAACUUUUUUCCAGGUUGACCUCGGAUCAGGUAGGGAUACCCGCUGAACUUAAGCAUAUCAAUAAGCGGGGGA
rnacentral:misc_RNA from 1 species